UCCUCGUUAGUAUAGUGGUCAGUAUCCCUGCCUGUCUUGCGGGAGACCGGGGUUCAAGUCCCCGACGGGAGGA
rnacentral:tRNA from 1 species